GGCGGCGUGCCUAAUACAUGCAAGUCGAGCGAACAGACGAGGAGCUUGCUCCUCUGACGUUAGCGGCGGACGGGUGAGUAACACGUGGAUAACCUACCUAUAAGACUGGGAUAACUUCGGGAAACCGGAGCUAAUACCGGAUAAUAUAUUGAACCGCAUGGUUCAAUAGUGAAAGACGGUUUUGCUGUCACUUAUAGAUGGAUCCGCGCCGCAUUAGCUAGUUGGUAAGGUAACGGCUUACCAAGGCAACGAUGCGUAGCCGACCUGAGAGGGUGAUCGGCCACACUGGAACUGAGACACGGUCCAGACUCCUACGGGGGGCAGCAGUAAGGAAUCUUCCGCAAUGGGCGAAAGCUUGACGGAGCAACGCCGCGUGAGUGAUGAAUGUCUUCGGAUCGUAAAACUCUGUUAUUAGGGAAGAACACAUGUGUAAGUAACUAUGCACGUCUUGACGGUACCUAAUCAGAAAGCCACGGCUAACUACGUGCCAGCAGCCGCGGUAAUACGUAGGUGGCAAGCGUUAUCCGGAAUUAUUGGGCGUAAAGCGCGCGUAGGCGGUUUUUUAAGUCUGAUGUGAAAGCCCACGGCUCAACCGUGGAGGGUCAUUGGAAACUGGAAAACUUGAGUGCAGAAGAGGAAAGUGGAAUUCCAUGUGUAGCGGUGAAAUGCGCAGAGAUAUGGAGGAACACCAGUGGCGAAGGCGACUUUCUGGUCUGUAACUGA
rnacentral:rRNA from 1 species